GGGGGAUUAGCUCAGCUGGGAGAGCGCUUGCAUGGCAUGCAAGAGGUCAGCGGUUCGAGCCCGCUAUCCUCCAC
rnacentral:tRNA from 1 species